rnacentral:rRNA from 1 species
GACGAACGCUGGCGGCGUGCUUAACACAUGCAAGUCGAACGGAAAGGCCCUGCUUUUGUGGGGUGCUCGAGUGGCGAACGGGUGAGUAACACGUGAGUAACCUGCCCUUGACUUUGGGAUAACUUCAGGAAACUGGGCCUACUACCGGAUAGGAGCUCCUGCUGCAGGGUGGGGGUUGGAAAGUUUCGGCGGUUGGUGUUGGAUUCGCGGCUUAUCAGCUUGUUGGUGGGGUAGUGGCUUACCAAGCCUUUGACGGGUAGCCGGCCUGAGAGGGUGACCGGCCACAUUGGGACUGAGAUACGGCCCAGACUCCUACGGGAGGCAGCAGUGGGGAAUAUUGCACAGUGGGCGGAAGCCUGAUGCAGCAACGCCGCGUGCGGGAUGACGGCCUUCGGGUUGUAAACCGCUUUCGCCUGUGACGAAGCGUGAGUGACGGUAAUGGGUAAAGAAGCACCGGCUAACUACGUG